GGGGCUGUGGUUUGGCCUCUGGCCCGCGGCCCCUUGUCUUCUUUGGCUCUUUGGAGUUGAGCAAGGCGUGCAUUUUCUUGGUGGCUUGGCCUUGCUCCCCGCCAGAGCGGAUAUGGCCCUGACCUGCCUAGCUUGAAAACGCCUUAUUUUCUCUUAGUGUAAAGGAAAUGGAAGGGAACCUUCUCCGUCCUAAGCCUUCUGGGUCAGGGACUUCUGGCCCACUCAAGCGCCUGACUCCCGACCUUCCCAAUACAGGAGUUUAGCCCUUUUGCCCAAGACCUGAGGAUAGGUGCGAGAGAUCGUGGAGAAAAACGGUAGUCACAGAGGCUCCUCCCGAAAAACGGUAGUCACAGAGGCUCCUCCCCUUUUCCUUCUGCUGGGUAUCCAAGUUAGGCAUCCUCAGCUCAAGAAUACCAGGAGUACUAUGGACUGUAAGGUUAUUUAUACUGCCUUAGAUGAGGAAGUAUGAGCUAUGUAAAAGAGCUGACCCAGAACAGCGCCCUCACCUGGAAUGGAGAAUACAGCGUCCAGUUGCAGAGAUGAGUUGGCUCACCUUCAGCCCCUAAAUCCUCACACGGAAGAAUCCAGCAAAGAGAAAGACAUGGUCCUGCCUGUUGUUGAUUGUUGCCUUGGUCUCAUUUGGGGUCAUGGCUCUUCAGCCUUGAAAGUAGGGGCCUGAUCAAAUGUUAAAAUGAGAGACAGGAGCCAUGAAAAUUUCCAGCAGAGCAGGAAAACCAGCCGCCUUACCAGGGGCUGCAAAGUAAUAAAGUCAGGGAGGAAAACCUCUUCAAAAUUUCCAGGGAAGGACUGACUAUUCUUAUUUUAGCUCGGAAUACUUCAUAUUGUAUAUCUUGUAUUUGUAUGAGGGGGAAAUUGCUGAAAAUGUUGAAAGAGUCAUUAAAGGAUUUGUCCUGAGUCACACAAGCAAGAUAGGAACAGGGCUGGGAACGGAUCCCAGUCUCAGAAUACAGUCACUUUAGCUACCUCUUCACAGCACCUCAGGUUCUGAAAUAUCCACUCAAGCCAUGAAAGAAAAGAAAUAUGGGGAGGAACAGAUGUCUUAUUUGUUCUUUGCUCCAGUCCCAGCUAGACCUCACCACUGCUGUUGUGAAGAUGACAUGCUAUGCUGGGUUCAUGAAAAUCAUAGGCCUAGACAAAACAGAAAACUGUGGUUUUGAGGAGCCCCUGACCUGGAGGUGCAGGGUAGCCUGUGGUUUGUGGCAAAGCCUGAGGCUUGAAGGAUCAUCAUAUAGGGCAGUAGAGCCAUCACAGGAUUGACAUUUAUUAUUAUUCCAAAAGACCAAGUUAUAUUUCUUGGUAGUUCUGUCAGCAAAAAGUGACCUUUCAGAAGGGUUGUCUUGGGGAGAAGGUAUAGCUCAGUGGUAGAGCCAUGCUUAGCAUGCAUGAGGUCCUGGGUUCAAUCCCCAGUACCUCCACUUAAUAAAUAAAUAAACCUAAUUACCCCCAAACAAAAAAAAAAAUCCAAACAAACAAAAAGUUAAAAAAAAAGGGGUUAUCCCAAUAUUCAAAUAUAUAAAUACAGGUCAACAGGUGGAUUAAAACAGAGUUUUAAACAACAACUGUAAAAUGUUUUAGUAAGUAUCCACAACGGUUUGCUCUGUGAGAAUGUCCUAGGCUCAAGUCUUAGCCCAAAGCACCUGGGGUGUAUGGCCACUCUUUUGGCUAAAGAGAUGCAAUACUUCCAAAUGAGUGUGGUGCUAUUUGGUGAAGCUCAUGUGCUUAAAAGCAAAAGUGAGACUCAAAGAAGCCCUGAGGUCACAUGAAGACUAUGGAGAUUGGUUAGGUAUGUUAGAAAAGUUUAAAUGUCUUUUAUGGGGAUCACUUCUGUGGGGUGCAACUUCUGGUUAAUGGAAUAUAGCCAGGUUAUUUCUGUACCAGCCAGGGAAUAUGAGAGCUUCUUGGCUUAAACUCUUAUAAUGUAAUAUGGCAGGAUUAAUGAGAGCAAAACCGUGUAAAUGAUAUUUAUUCUAAGGGAGGGAGCCUGUCCUUCUGAUCUAGUGAGGAGAGAAAAUGAAUGACCUGGGAAGACCCGGAGACUCCUCUCCCCCUCUCUCCUCUCCAGGAGAACAGAUGGGUAAGGAAUUGGGCAUUUUCUCACAGGUUCUUACCUAAAAGGGAGGAGAAAGCUGCCCUUAAAUUAUGUGCAAGGGUCUAAUAGCCUGUGCAAAGCCAUCUCUGGUAAAAGGCCACAGCUUUGUCACCAUGUCAGUCACAAGCCAGUGUUGUGGAGGUAAGCUCCAAGUGACAGCUGUCUGAGACUACGAGAAAAGCUGAGGGGCAGAGCUCUCUCCCAAUUCCAGUGUAGGACUGAGACGGAAACAGGACACUGCAUUGGGGUGCUUGGAACAGCAGGGAGAAUCAAAGGAGUGAUUUCAGACUUUUUCCUUCAUCUCUGAACUGUUGGGUGAAUUAACUGUGAGGCUAUAAAGUGAUCUGAUUGCUUCAGAGAUGGCAUGAGCAGUAUUGUUGUUAAUCCCUAAUUUUAAUUCUUUAAACUGUUCUCCAAAAAUAAAAUUGUUUCGGAAAGCUUUA